rnacentral:lncRNA from 1 species
UGGGAUUUAAAGAAUGAGCAGAAGAUACUUAAGUAAAGAAGAUGAAGAGAUUUCCAGGCAAUGAAAGACACUUACCAAGGCCAGGGAGGCUGGAACACAGAAAGUGACAGGGAAUGUGGCAAAAGACUAUGAUAAGCAGUUGGCAGAAGCUAGCACUCUGAAAACAACAUUAAGAACUCUCUUUGGUCUUUAUCCUAAGAGCAAUGGAAGCCUGGCAACACUAGUUUGGGGAAAUUUAUUGAAGUAUCAAAGGUCAAAAAAGCCCACAGCACAGCAUCAUGAUAAAGACGUGUCAGUGUAUAAGAAGAACCAAACAACUCACA